CCUACUUUACAAGUCCAUAAUUAUUAGUCCAUUAAUUUAUAAUUAAUUAUUUAACUAUUUAUUAUAAUAAUACGGUUUCUAUUAUUAUUAUUAUUAUAGCAAUAGUAUUUAUUAAAUAUCUUAUUAAAAGUUGUAUUUUGUAUUUUAAUUAAAAAAUAAUAUUUAAUUCGUCUCACCAACGUUCCGGUCUCAUAUCAUGGAGGGAAAAUAUCUUGAUGAGAAAUAUAAGUCGACGGACUCAUAACGAGCGGACUCAACGCGAUUCGACUGUAUAUACAAUAGUUUGUCUAUUGUCAUAUAUUUCUACACAAUUUCCGGCCAAUAAAAUAUUCGGAAAAGUAGCAUACUUCCGUCGUAUUUUUCUUCCCUACUCUACAGUCAAGCACAAGAAGACGAACAAUAUUCGCUUCAUUGCUCAAUCAGAAAUAAAAUUCGUAAUCGACAGACGCCAUCGAUUGCUACUCGUGAUUUAUAAAGUCUUCAAAUCGUUAACAGUUCUUGAAAUCGUAUAUUUUUACAAAAAAAAUAAAUAAAUAAUUAUCAAAAAUUUUUAUAUUCUAAAUAAACGUUAAUUUAAUAAUUACUCAAGGCAGCAAUUUUUUUCAAUAUCUAAUUCUGUGGAUAAAUGCUCUUCAAUAAUCACUAACAGCCAUUUUGUACAAAAUCAGCCUGUCAAAAUUACCUACGUUUUUUUUUUUUUUCACAAUACAAAGAUAAAAAAAAACAGACAACAUGUCGAACGGAAUUCCAUGCAGAGUUCAGGACGUAUCAUCAUCGCGUGUACCGCUUGAAAUAUGUGAAGCAUUUAUCGAGGAGGUUAAACGUUGUUUAAAAGAUGACCCAGAUGACAAUUCCGAACGCUUUUUUGAUUGUUUGCGCGACUAUCACGAUGGGCAUAUCACACGAUUACAGGUUUUAAAUCGAGGUAGUGAAAUUUUAAAGAAUUAUCCAGCUCUUUUAGAACAAUUCAAAACAUUUAUAGUUUUAGAGUAAUUUUUUCUCAUUUAAUUUAAUAAAAUUAUGAAUUUUUUUUUUCAAAUUAUAAUUACAAAA